rnacentral:rRNA from 1 species
UACAGAGGUCUCAAGCGUUGUUCGGAUUCAUUGGGCGUAAAGGGCGCGUAGGCUGCGGGGCAAGUCGGGUGUGAAAUCUCAGAGCUCAACUCUGAAACUGCACUCGAUACUGCUUUGCUUGAGGACUGGAGAGGAGACUGGAAUUCAUGGUGUAGCAGUGAAAUGCGUAGAGAUCAUGAGGAAGACCAGUGGCGAAGGCGGGUCUCUGGACAGUUCCUGACACUGAGACACGAAGGCCAGGGGAGCAAACGGG